AAUAAAUAAAAUCUUUGAAAUGCUGGGGCUCUGUGAGGCAUGGUCAGAAAAUCACCAAAUGAAAACUGUUCCUGGAUUCCUUCCAGUUCUGGUGUUUUUGAGGUUGUGAUCAUUCACCUGUGUGUCCUGAGCUGGGCUGGAUCACAGCCUUGUCUUUCUUGGCAGCUGGGAGUUUGCGGGACCCGCAGGCGUUGGCAGAGGACACACGGGAAAGAGCCUUAGCUCUGGGUGUCUGGCUCCUCCUCGCUUCUUUAACCCCUUUCCUGAUCUUGUGACCCAUUUCUCCUUUCUCCUAAUGCAAACUGAGUGUCCUCCCAUCCCUGGUCAGGGGCCAAGGUGCUGCGCAGCGCAGCUCGGAAGGAGUGUUCUAGGUUGUCAGUACGACUUAGCCUUGUGUUCCGUCCUGCAGGUGGAGUGGAGAUCCUUGAAGCAGAGCCUGCCUUCCUCUCAGAUAAACUUGACCCUCAACAGUCCUAGAAACCUGAGGUCCCAGCGACUACACUCUGCUUGAAGCACUAAGACCAGCCCUGGUUGCCACCAACCGAAGAGAGACGCCACUGUCAGCCAGGCUGGGGAAGAAACUUGAAACGGGACAAAGGCAGACUCUUGGACACGAUCAAAGCGGCAAGGCGGAAAGCAGAGAACACAGGAGAGCCAGGAGAGCUGGCUUCAAACUACAGGGAGGGACAGGGCAAGACAAAGAACACUUAUUAAAUACUGACUGUGCUCUGAGCUCAGUACCACAUACUUAAACACCCAUUGCGACCCUGUGGAAGCAGGCAGAACUCUCGCAUGAGACGACGUGAGGAAGAAGCAAAGGGACCUGCCCAAAGGCCCCCAUAGCCAGGGAGCACAGGCUGGCAGAUCUGUUGGCCUCACGUCACGACCUCUGUAACCGGACUGCGUAACCCAUGUGUGACUGUAGAGCUUUCUCAUAUUCCGAGCUGGCAUGAUGGCAUGGAAGUUCUGUACCAGUUCCUCACCAUCGAAGGUGUCCGAGGAGAUGCUGGAUGGAGAUCUUCAAAGAUAUUAAAGAGAGAAUUUAUUCAUGCCUUGUUGGAGGGUGGAAAUGCAUCAUCCAGGAAAGCACCUUCUAGCUUUGAGAUUCUGAGUUUCUAUACUUUUCUAUACUUCUAUACUUUCUAUACUUUGGGGUAUACUCUUCAGGUAUAUGAAGGGAUUUCCUUUCCCUGUAUUUUUCACCUUCUCAUCUGUCUCCUUCUUCCCUUCAUGCAGAUACUCUGUUCUGGGAACAUGUUUUUUUCUAAAAGGAGACGGUGGCUGGCAGUUUGGGCGACUAGGAUAGCAGAAACACCAUACUACUCUCUCUGGUUGGUGAGUCUACAUUUUUACCAAGUUUACUAAGGAGAUUGCGUUAUAUUCGGGUGAGGCAAACCUGGAAAGAUGUUAAGAGGAAGCAAUUAUAUCACCCCUCCUUCCCUCUCCUCCGAUUUCUUGUUACCAAGCAAACCCCAUACCCCCUGAAUGUAGAAUUUAGGGAAGGGGUUGACUGAAGAUUCAUAUUCUGCUAUCCCAUCAUGAUGGGGACUUGAUAGAGAAUCUGGAAAUUUUUUGGAAAAUAAAGCAGUAUUUCCUGCAUGCCUGAGCUGGGGAACAGAGACCUAAUUUAAGCCGUGCAGACCUAACAUUUUUUGGUCCUCUGCUGCCCCUGUGUGGGCACAGUGGGAAACAACACCUCAAGAUUUCGCUUGUGGCCACGGUGAAAUUGGACUUGAAAGAACCACCCCGAGAACCGCUGGAGGUUUAUGACCACGAGGAGGGAGUCAGGAACUGUUCCUAUGGCCAGAAAGCUAGGGGCUUCCAGGAGAGAGGUGGGGAGCCCCUACAAGCUGUCAAUGACUUCACCAAAGUCGUGUCCACCAGCUUUAUUUUUCCUCAAGACAUCUGCAGCCAGGAGGCGAGCCAUCAUCUCAAGACUCGCAGGCAUGCACCUCUGCGGCUUCUGGCCGCGACCAGCGCCCGCGGGCACAGCGCCAACCCUCCCACACCUUCUCUUCCUGCGCUUGGAGUAACAAGUCUGUGAGUGUCUCCCUCUGGUUUCACAGCUUUUCACACCCUCUCUUUACCGUCUGUCUCGACACCACCAUCUACACAACAUAUCUACACCAUGGCAUGGCGUUCGUGCUUGCAGCAUCACUGACUCCCUGCACAGGCACGGGACAGAGAUGACACUUGUGUUCUUAAAUGAGCGAGGGGGAACACUUGGGCACAAUGGGGGAGGGUGCGGAGGGGGCUCUGGGUGACUGGGAGCAGCCUGGCUGGAAUCCAGGGUGUCGGAGUCCGAGGACUGCCGUCUACUUACAGCUUUAGCUGCUUCCUUCCCCGGUCAGCUCCCUCCUGGGUGCCCAGCACACCAGCCAGCCUCACCCCCCAGCCCCUCCCGACCAACAGCAGCAGUGGUGGGAGCCCCAGCCCUCUUGCUCUCCUGCCCCCAGGAGAGGAUGGGUUAUCUGGGCCUCCUCUCUCCAGCUGGGAGCCAGGGCCAAAUGCACCUGGCCUGACCUCCUGUCCCCUCCCCUCAUGCCUCCAGACCCUGCCGCAGCCUGCGAUCCAGGGCCAGGAGCUGCCGCAAGAAGCCCCGGUUGGGGAUGAUGCCUCGGUGGUCCUUGACCUUCUUGAUGGCCUCCACAAGGGUGAGGUGGUGGUACAGCAUGAGGUAGGCCAGCACCAGCGUGGCGGACCGGCUCACGCCCACGGCGCAGUGCACCAGGAUCUUCCCUGCGAGGACAGACACACGAGGCGGCCGUGGGACCAUAUGUGGUGGGCUGGAGGCGGCGAGGGCUACAGGGUUGGGUGAGGAGGGAGAUGGGGAAGCGGGGUGCAGACUGCGGGUGGGAGGAAUGCUGACCCCUGGGAUGCCUGGACAGGAUACACAGACCCAUAGCACGCAGCAGCUCAGCCUCCGGGAGCCUAAAAAGGGCUCCCAGGGAGACAGAUGCUUGUCACUAAUGCAAAACCGAGUCUCGCACAGAGUGGUGAUCUGCCUGAGUGUAUCAAGUACAUUAGCAUUGGGCCUCGGUGAA